UACAGAGGGUGCAAGCGUUAAUCGGAAUUACUGGGCGUAAAGCGAGCGUAGGUGGCUUGAUAAGUCAGAUGUGAAAUCCCCGGGCUUAACCUGGGAACUGCAUCUGAAACUGUCAGACUAGAGUAGGUGAGAGGGAGGUAGAAUUUCAGGUGUAGCGGUGAAAUGCGUAGAGAUCUGAAGGAAUACCGAUAGCGAAGGCAACCUCCUGGCAUCAUACUGACACUAAGGCUCGAAAGCGUGGGUAGCAAACAGG
rnacentral:rRNA from 1 species